rnacentral:lncRNA from 10 species
AAAAAUGUUGAAUAUCAACAAUGGGUUUCAGUGCUGUAUUGUUGAGUUUUGUAUGAACUAAUCUAGCUUCUCUAAAAAAAAAAAAAAAAAAAAAAAAAAGAAAGAAAAGAAAGAAAGAAAAGAAAGAAAGAAAGAAAAAAAAAGAAAAGAAAAAAAAGAGAACCACAGCUUUGGACAAAAGUCUAUAGCCAGUGCAUUUGAAAACUCCCCUUGCACCAGGGCUGACUGUAGCUGGGGGAAGACAUUUUACUCAUUUGCUCUUUCCUUUCAUACAGUCAGCUGGUCCCUCUUCUCAGGUGUAGAUCACCUAUUAUAAUUUUACCUAAUUUUGAUACUCUGAUAAGGAAAGUCCCAGGACUUAUCAGCUGGGAUAGGCCUCACUUACAAGACAGCUCUGUUCAGUAUUUGGAAGAAAGCCUGACAGGUUUCUUCGGAAAAGUGGCCAUCCAUGGAAUGAAUGAAAUGUUCUCUUUCUAUUCCAAUCCAACUUAGAAAUAAUGUUUCAUUCAAGAUAAGGCUCGUGGCUUAGGAGAUUGUGACCUGGCUUGCAUCAUUCUAAGACUUCUAUCGUCUGUUUUCAAAACCCAAGGAGGACCUCCUUUUCUGUGUGAUAGUUCCUCAUGCUUUGCCAGCCACUGGGUCUUUAAGGAAGCUUGCCAAGAGUUCCCGGCUGGGAAGGACAGUUCGAGUUCAUCAUAGACAAUGAGCUGGCACCACAGUUUAAGUGACUCACCAACCUGGUUGCCCACUUCAAAAUGUCAAGAACCACACUAUCUAAUUGAAAGAACUGUGUUUUAGCAAAGUGUAAUUGGAUCGCCUGGCAAGAUCAUCUCAAACUAUGUCUCUGACCUUGCCUUUCAGUGGCUAUUUUGAGCACAAGAGGAGAAAGGAAAUGAUUCCUGAAUUAUAUCUUGUUUUUAAAAAUUAAGAUUAAUUAAUACUUGGUUUUAUGUUCAUUCCAUUGUAGGAACUUAGUGAUUAUUACAAAACAGUCAAAAUAGGUCAUAGCAAAAUGAACGUUUAAGAUUAGGUUAAAACAUUCCUCUGAAAUUUUAGUAUUCACUUUUGAAGUGUCAAUUACUAUAUUUCUGUAAUUUCUCAUUUUUUUCUUGGCUUAGAGUCAAGAUGAAAAAUGAUAUUUGAAUCAAAGACAUUGUUUUGUUAUAUAGCCACUCCUUUCUAAAAUGCAAAUCCACCCUCCCCUCACCAAUGCUUUAUUCUUUGUGCGCGCACACACACACACACACACACACACACACACACACACACACAGACAUACACAGAACCAGCACCCAAAUGGUAGAGGAGGUCCUUCCAAGACUUCUAGGACCUGGAUCAUGUAAGCAGUAGAUGAGAAAAUGAAGUAAGAGAUAUAGAGUAAUAACAAUAAAAGUCAAUGAUUUCAUUUUACAAAAAAGUCAUUGUGUAGUACUCAGAUAUUUUUAAGAGCAAGUAUUAUUAUGACUAAAGUAUAUUAUACUUCUAAAUUAUUAUGAUUCUCAUCUAAUUUCAAGCCACACAUAGGCGCCAUUUGAAAGCAUUUUGUGUUACAACCUAUCAACAAAAAUCAACUAAUAGUUUUAUAACGUGCAUAGGUUUACCCCAUGGGGAAUUAAAAUUUUUAUCUGCAAGUAUUUCUGUUGUUGUGAGACUUUAGGACAAGACAACAUUUGGUGUUAACAUAGAAGAAUAUUCUAUGGCUUUUUUAGCUUUAAAGUUCAUUACUCUAAAAUAAAGUACACGUGGUAUUUUUUUCUUCCUAGUGUUCUCUUAUUAUAUGUAGAGUAUUUUCGGUUGUUGUUUUUAACGUAUACAUUAUUUUUAUUAAGUCAUUUCAUAAAAGAUAAGAUAUAUACUAAUAGACCCUUGGUUUUCUCCUAAUUUAAUUAUUUCAAGUCAAGCAAAAUUGGGCAAUUUUCUUUCAGGAAAAAAAAAAUAUUGAGCAUGAUUUUGAGGUAAAACUGAUUAUUUACAGCAUCUUUUCUCUAAUAGGCUAACAUUUAUGAUGGAUCUUAUUUCAAAGUUGAUUAUUCUCAAAGAAAAGUGGAGAUAUUAGAAUUUCCGAGUAAAUUGCAUUGUUUUAAAAAGUACUUUAAUGCAUUGUUCACAUUGUUGCCAGCUAUUGACCAAAAAAGAGAAGAAGAAAAAAGAAAUAAAAAAAGCAGUAUCUGCUCCAAACGUCAAGUUUUGCAGUUUGAAAGACUUGUACAUUAUAAUUGUUUUUUUCUUUUUUGGAAAGCAGUAGUAAUUAAUACCAAAGGCAUAGACAAUUUAGGGCCAUAACCUCCCUUCCCCCCUCUCCACCUUUUUUUUUUUUUUUUUUUUUUUUUAACUUUAACCAUGAUAGGCAUCUCUGCAAGGUAGGUUUUAACAUAUUUUUUUCCUAAUUUUUUUCCCUCCAUUCAGUAAGAAGGAUAAGCUUUUAGAGUACCCAGUCACCGUGGUAACUGCCAAAAAAAUUCUCCUGAAGUUUGAAGAGGUCAGCUAGCAGGGUCAACAACCCUGGCCUCUCUCUGAGCUCGGUCUAGCAUGCCCCAGCCUGCGGUUGGAGUGUCAGGCCAGAUCUGACCCUGGGAGGUGGACCAUUCUGGCUCUGAUAUAAAUUUUUCGAGUCAGUUCAUGGCCUGGACUCUCCAGGUGGCCUCCAAAAUCGAUUUUGACCCCCUGACCCUGUCUCACGGAGGCAUAGCAUCCACCCUAAGUAAGGAUUUAGCCAGGAAUGACAGCUUUCCACUGAGUGUUAUUGGGGACAGUAUAAACAGUUUGGAAAGCAAGUAAGGAGGUGUGAGGGCUAGCAAUCAUUAAAAGCACAUUAAAAAACAAUUUUUAAAAAUCUUUAUUAGAGAAAGUUGUAAAUGCAUAUCUGUUACAGAAUUCCUGUGAUUUGUAGAGUUUUCUAGUCAGUUUUGAAUAUAAAUAGGUCACAUAUCUUUAUCUUUUUGCAUACUUUGUUACAAAUAUGCAAAUAAGAUAGGCAUACUUGCUACAAAAUAGGUACAGCAGGAAUGUAAUAUGUUCAGAAAAGGCAAACUGGUUAUUAAAACACAUUAACAGGUAAGGAGUUUCUAAUAUUUUAAAUACUAAAAUUUUACAUGUGUAUUUUGAAGUUUUUAAAAUGGAAAAAUAAAGAACCUUUAA